UGUGUUGUCAGUUUCUCAAGCCAAAACGUCUUGAUGGCCUUCGCCAGUUCAUCUUUGCUUGGCAGAUGAAUGUUUUCUUUUAAGCAUCGAAUACAUUGCAAGUUGGGGGGAUUUUCACACCUACAGUAGCCGGGCUAUUAAACAACCGUUUUCUAAAUAAAUUGAGGUAUGAACAACCUGCUCCACUUGUGGAAAAACAAGUGUCUGAAAACACGUUUUUGAAAUUCCUCCAGCUGUCCUACAUCAUCGUCAUCAUGUAAAUAAAAACUUAGCAAUAUAUCUACAGAUAUAUUAUAAUAAUAAUAUAAUAAUAAUAAAUUAUUAAUAUAUUACUGAAUUAGAUUUUUUUUUUGUGAGGGAAAAUCUGGUCUAUAUUGAGCUAGAAAUGGUGUUCAUUGUAACCACAAUAAAAUAAUUGAACAAACACAACAUGAGCAGAUUAACUUGAUCAAAACAUGUAUUUAUCUAUCAGAAAGAAUGUUGGUACUUGUUUAUUUUUGAUCCAAAGCCACGAAUGAGUGAGUCUCUCAGCUUCAUGCCGACAAAUCCUCACUGGACUCUCUUCAUUCAGUUUCUUCUUUAGGUGUGACGCAGGUGGGUCUGGAGAUGGAGGUGUGAUGCAGGUGGGUCUGGAGAUGGAGGUGUGAGCAGGUGGGUCUGGACAGGUGUGAUGUAGUUGUUGUUUGUAUGUGUAUGUUUUGAAUUGUCUAAAAAAAUUUAAAAUAGAGAAACCAAAAGCCCACCUUACCCAUUUUUUGAACAUCGUCAGUCCACAUGUCAUGUGUGUUUGCUCCAUUGUAUUUACCCAAGUUCUCUCUCAACUCCAGGACCGCCAGCUGAUUGUUUGUUUUUGUUGUUGCCUGAUGCAGGACUCUAGUGCCAGAGAAGAGAGACUCUCAGACUGAAAACACAUCCAUUAAUUCAGGAAAAUAUAGUUCAUUUCUGUCACAGUUUAGACUACGGAUAAAUCAGCGUUCUAACUCCCCCUUGUGAUAGUGUGGUGCAAUGACAGAAUGCCACCAUCUACUACAAACGGUCGCGGCAUAAAGUCAAACCUUUUAAUUGAGGAACCACUGCAUGUGUGAGUGGGACCAGUGGACUCCAUUUAGGAGAAAUGAGUAUCCCUGUGCCACCACCACGACGACCAGAUGCUCUCAGACUAUGAGAGAACACACAGUCAGAUGCAGACAGCAGCUGGAGUAGUAUCUGGGAUAAUCUAUGUUUCCGUCAGAGCAAAAAGUCUAGGGCCUGAAGGGCAGCAUGGGCUUAGAAGGGUUGCAGCCAAGCUUCAGGGAUUCAUCCGAUACCACAUCAGUCACAUCGUCCACACAACAUCGUCCACACAAACCGUAGGUACAUACGCCAACCAGAAGCCAUGCAUUACAGGCAACAUCCGCACUGAACUAAAGACUAGAGCCGGCGCUUUCAAGGAGCGGGACGCUUAUAAGGAAUUCUACACCCUCUGACGAACCAUCAAAAAGGCAAAGCGUCAAUACAGGACUAAGAUAAACUCCUACGACACCGGCUCUGACGCUCAUCUGCACUUAUACGGUAAAUUGUGCAAUAUUUAAUGUAAUAAAUAAGAUAUCAUAAAUCUGUCUGAAUUUGAGUGUUUACAGUUCUCCAACCCUAUCCCUCAGCUGUUUAGCAAAACAGUGGUGGGUUCCCACUUUGUAGUUGUUUUAACUGCAGAGGGGUACACUACAAAGUAGGAUCGAAGAGUUAGCCAGCUAACUUUGAUAAGCAACCAGAGGGGUACACUACAAAGUAGGAUCGAAGAGUUAGCCAGCUAACUUUGAUAAGCAACCAGAGGGGUACACUACAAAGUAGGAUCGAAG
ensembl:lncRNA